rnacentral:rRNA from 1 species
GACGAACGCUGGCGGCGUGCUUAACACAUGCAAGUCGAACGAAAAGACGGAAAGAGCUUGCUCUUUUCAGAAUUGAGUGGCAAACGGGUGAGUAACACGUAAACAACCUGCCUUCAGGAUGGGGACAACAGACGGAAACGACUGCUAAUACCGAAUAAGUUCCAAGGGUCGCAUGAUCCAUGGAAGAAAAGGUGGCCUCUACCUGUAAGCUAUCGCCUGAAGAGGGGUUUGCGUCUGAUUAGCUGGUUGGAGGGGUAACGGCCCACCAAGGCGACGAUCAGUAGCCGGUCUGAGAGGAUGAACGGCCACACUGGAACUGAGACACGGUCCAGACUUCUACGGGAGGCAGCAGUGGGGAAUCUUCCGCAAUGGGCGAAAGCCUGACGGAGCAACGCCGCGUGAGUGAUGACGGCCUUCGGGUUGUAAAACUCUGUGAUCCGGGACGAAAAGGCAGAGUGCGAAGAACAAACUGCAUUGACGGUACCGGAAAAGCAAGCCACGGCUAACUACGUGCCAGCAGCCGCGGUAAUACGUAGGUGGCAAGCGUUGUCCGGAAUUAUUGGGCGUAAAGCGCGCGCAGGCGGCUUCCCAAGUCCCUCUUAAAAGUGCGGGGCUUAACCCCGUGAUGGGAAGGAAACUGGGAAGCUGGAGUAUCGGAGAGGAAAGUGGAAUUCCUAGUGUAGCGGUGAAAUGCGUAGAGAUUAGGAAGAACACCGGUGGCGAAGGCGACUUUCUGGACGAAAACUGACGCUGAGGCGCGAAAGCGUGGGGAGCAAACAGG